AGAGUUUGAUCCUGGCUCAGAUUGAACGCUGGCGGCAUGCCUUACACAUGCAAGUCGAACGGUAACGCGGGGCAACCUGGCGACGAGUGGCGAACGGGUGAGUAAUACAUCGGAACGUGCCCAGUAGUGGGGGAUAGCCCGGCGAAAGCCGGAUUAAUACCGCAUACGACCUACGGGUGAAAGGGGGGGAUCGCAAGACCUCUCGCUAUUGGAGCGGCCGAUGUCAGAUUAGGUAGUUGGUGGGGUAAAGGCCUACCAAGCCUACGAUCUGUAGCUGGUCUGAGAGGACGACCAGCCACACUGGGACAGAGACACGGCCCAGACUCCUACGGGAGGCAGCAGUGGGGAAUUUUGGACAAUGGGCGCAAGCCUGAUCCAGCCAUGCCGCGUGCGGGAAGAAGGCCUUCGGGUUGUAAACCGCUUUUGUCAGGGAAGAAACGCUCUGAGCUAAUACCUCGGGGUAAUGACGGUACCUGAAGAAUAAGCACCGGCUAACUACGUGCCAGCAGCCGCGGUAAUACGUAGGGUGCAAGCGUUAAUCGGAAUUACUGGGCGUAAAGUGUGCGCAGGCGGUCUUGCAAGACAGAUGUGAAAUCCCCGGGCUCAACCUGGGAACUGCAUUUGUGACUGCAAGGCUGGAGUGCGGCAGAGGGGGAUGGAAUUCCGCGUGUAGCAGUGAAAUGCGUAGAUAUGCGGAGGAACACCGAUGGCGAAGGCAAUCCCCUGGGCCUGCACUGACGCUCAUGCACGAAAGCGUGGGGAGCAAGCAGGAUUAGAUACCCUGGUAGUCCACGCCCUAAACGAUGUCAACUGGUUGUUGGGAGGGUUUCUUCUCAGUAACGUAGCUAACGCGUGAAGUUGACCGCCUGGGGAGUACGGCCGCAAGGUUGAAACUCAAAGGAAUUGACGGGGACCGCACAAGCGGUGGAUGAUGUGGUUUAAUUCGACGCAACGCGAAAAACCUUACCUACCCUUGACAUGUCUGGAAUCCUGCAGAGAUGUGGGAGUGCUCGAAAGAGAAUCAGAACACAGGUGCUGCAUGGCCGUCGUCAGCUCGUGUCGUGAGAUGUUGGGUUAAGUCCCGCAACGAGCGCAACCCUUGUCAUUAGUUGCUACGCAAGAGCACUCUAAUGAGACUGCCGGUGACAAACCGGAGGAAGGUGGGGAUGACGUCAGGUCAUCAUGGCCCUUAUGGGUAGGGCUACACACGUCAUACAAUGGCCGGUACAGAGGGCUGCCAACCCGCGAGGGGGAGCUAAUCCCAGAAAACCGGUCGUAGUCCGGAUCGCAGUCUGCAACUCGACUGCGUGAAGUCGGAAUCGCUAGUAAUCGCGGAUCAGCUUGCCGCGGUGAAUACGUUCCCGGGUCUUGUACACACCGCCCGUCACACCAUGGGAGCGGGUUCUGCCAGAAGUAGUUAGCCUAACCGUAAGGAGGGCGAUUACCACGGCAGGGUUCGUGACUGGGGUGAAGU
rnacentral:rRNA from 1 species